rnacentral:rRNA from 1 species
AUUCAAUUUUCUGCCACCGAAUACAUUAGCAUGGGAUAAUGGAAUAGGACCCUGUCCUCCUAUUUUCAGUUGGUUUUGGCAGCGCGAGGACUAGGGUAAUGAUUAAUAGGGAUAGUUGGGGGCAUUAAUAUUUAAUUGUCAGAGGUGAAAUUCUUGGAUUUAUGAAAGAUUAACUUCUGCGAAAGCAUCUGCCAAGGAUGUUUUCAUUAAUCAAGAACGAAAGUUAGGGGAUCGAAGACGAUCAGAUACCGUCGUAGUCUUAACCAUAAACGAUGCCGACCAGCGAUUAGGAGACGUUGAAUACAAAACACCACCAUCGGCGCGGUCGUCCUUGGCGUUCGUGUUCACGCACGAGCGCGAGGGCGGCUUAGCCCGAUGGCACCGGUGAAUGACUCCCCUAGCAGCUUGUGAGAAA